GGCUGGGUAGCUCAGCUGGUUAGAGCACAGGAUUCAUAACCCUGAGGUCGGGAGUUCAAGUCUCCCCCCCGCCA
rnacentral:tRNA from 1 species